GUAUUUACCAAUUAGCAGCACAUAUACUAAAAUUAGAACAAUACAGAGAAGAUUAGCAUGGAACCUGAACAAAGAUGAUGCACAAAUAUGUGAAGUAUUCUAUAUUUUU